rnacentral:rRNA from 1 species
ACUCAAAGGAAUUGACGGGGACCCGCACAAGCGGUGGAGUAUGUGGUUUAAUUCGACGCUACGCGCAGAACCUUACCAGCUCUUGACAUGGAACGUGUGGGGACCAGAGAUGGUCUCCUUCAGUUAGAUGGCGUUCACACAGGUGCUGCAUGGCUGUCGUCAGCUCGUGUCGUGAGAUGUUGGGUUAAGUCCCGCAACGAGCGCAACCCUCGUCGCUAGUUGCCAGCAGGUUAAGCUGGGCACUUUAGCGAGACUGCCGGUGGUAAGCCGGAUGAAGGUGAGGAUGAGGUCAAGUCAUCAUGGCCCUUAUGGGCUGGGCUACACACGUACUACAAUGGUCGUGACAGCAGGGAGCUAAGGAGCAAUCCGGAGCCAAUCCCGAAAAGCGGCCUCAGUUCAGAUUGUCCUCUGCAACUCGAGGGCAUGAAGUCGGAAUCGCUAGUAAUCGUGGAUCAGCAUGCCACGGUGAAUCCGUUCUCGGGUCUUGUACACACCGCCCGU